GUUUUAUUUAAGAAAGGAUCUGUAUCGCUGAAGUUCCUCAGGAAGAACUUAUACCGGAAAUUAACAAACGACCAGAGACGUAACAGUAUUAUUGGCGAGUUUGUAAACAGUGGGACAACGAAAGUAACUAUAUAUUAAUUGAGCUGAACUAAAAAAUAAACCACUGCGACAACUGGCGGUUAGAUAAUGUAUAACUGUUGAGUACGCUGAAGCAACAACGUAUACCUACACGAAAAGAAGUAGAUUCAAAGUAUUUGUUGUUGUGAUGUAUAAAAGUGAUUUGUUUGAGAGGCGACGUUGAAGAUGGAUGUUAGUUAUCAAAUAAUCUUCCUGAGCAAAGUGGCUGAAAUGAAAGAUAAACGAUAAUGGAAGAUUGUAAUUGGAACGGAAGACAAUUUUUUAUCGCCAGAAAAAGACAUUCGUUAUAAAACAACAACAAAAAGCAACGGAUGUAUGACAUCGUGUUCGAAUGUUGGUAUCCUAACUAACGGUCGUUUUUUCACUAGUUGAAGUCACGUGUUGAAUUCCACGAAGAUCAGGAAAAGCUGAAUACAUUGAGUUUCAGUGACACCCACGUGUGGACCCAUAUAAUGAACAAAUUAAGCAGGUUGAUCGUGGUUGGCUGUAUUUUUUUAAUGGGGGUUGUUCUCACCGUUUUAUCGUGUCUCGGGGAACUUGAAGGGUGUAACACGUACUUUCUUCACCGGUGUUGCGAAGGGCUGGCGUGCAGGUCGAAUUUUCCAUAUUCGAAAUACGGUCGCUGUGUUCCAGAGAUUUAUGGUUAGAUUCCUAGAUUGUAGCGACAC